rnacentral:rRNA from 1 species
UGCAAGUCGAGCGAACAGAAGGGAGCUUGCUCCCGGAUGUUAGCGGCGGACGGGUGAGUAACACGUGGGUAACCUGCCUGUAAGACUGGGAUAACUCCGGGAAACCGGAGCUAAUACCGGAUAGUUCCUUGAACCGCAUGGUUCAAGGAUGAAAGACGGUUUCGGCUGUCACUUACAGAUGGACCCGCGGCGCAUUAGCUAGUUGGUGGGGUAAUGGCUCACCAAGGCGACGAUGCGUAGCCGACCUGAGAGGGUGAUCGGCCACACUGGGACUGAGACACGGCCCAGACUCCUACGGGAGGCAGCAGUAGGGAAUCUUCCGCAAUGGACGAAAGUCUGACGGAGCAACGCCGCGUGAGUGAUGAAGGUUUUCGGAUCGUAAAGCUCUGUUGUUAGGGAAGAACAAGUGCGAGAGUAACUGCUCGCACCUUGACGGUACCUAACCAGAAAGCCACGGCUAACUACGUGCCAGCAGCCGCGGUAAUACGUAGGUGGCAAGCGUUGUCCGGAAUUAUUGGGCGUAAAGGGCUCGCAGGCGGUUUCUUAAGUCUGAUGUGAAAGCCCCCGGCUCAACCGGGGAGGGUCAUUGGAAACUGGGAAACUUGAGUGCAGAAGAGGAGAGUGGAAUUCCACGUGUAGCGGUGAAAUGCGUAGAGAUGUGGAGGAACACCAGUGGCGAAGGCGACUCUCUGGUCUGUAACUGACGCUGAGGAGCGAAAGCGUGGGGAGCGAACAGGAUUAGAUACCCUGGUAGUCCACGCCGUAAACGAUGAGUGCUAAGUGUUAGGGGGUUUCCGCCCCUUAGUGCUGCAGCUAACGCAUUAAGCACUCCGCCUGGGGAGUACGGUCGCAAGACUGAAACUCAAAGGAAUUGACGGGGGCCCGCACAAGCGGUGGAGCAUGUGGUUUAAUUCGAAGCAACGCGAAGAACCUUACCAGGUCUUGACAUCCUCUGACAACCCUAGAGAUAGGGCUUUCCCUUCGGGGACAGAGUGACAGGUGGUGCAUGGUUGUCGUCAGCUCGUGUCGUGAGAUGUUGGGUUAAGUCCCGCAACGAGCGCAACCCUUGAUCUUAGUUGCCAGCAUUUAGUUGGGCACUCUAAGGUGACUGCCGGUGACAACCCGGAGGAAGGUGGGGAUGACGUCAAUCAUCAUGCCCCUUAUGACCUGGGCUACCACGUGCUACAUGGA